CAGAGGUGCCAAGCGUUAGGCGGAAUCACUGGGCUUAAAGCGUGUGUAGGCGGAAUUCUAAGUACCUUGUGAAAUCCCACGGCUCAACCGUGGAACUGCUUGGUAUACUGGUUUUCUUGAGCCACUUAGGGGCUGUCGGAACAAACGGUGGAGCGGUGAAAUGCGUAGAUAUCGUUUGGAACGCCAAAGGUGAAAACAGACAGCUGGGAGUGUGCUGACGCUGAGACACGAAAGCCAGGGGAGCGAACGGGAUUAGAUACCCCGGUAGUCCUGGCCCUAAACGAUGUCGACUAGAUCGUGGCGGCUCUGACGCCUUCACGGUCGAAGCAAAAGUGCUAAGUCGACCGCCUGGGAAGUACGGUCGCAAGGCUA
rnacentral:rRNA from 1 species